rnacentral:rRNA from 1 species
UACGUAGGGUGCGAGCGUUAAUCGGAAUUACUGGGCGUAAAGGGUGCGCAGGCGGCGUCGCAAGUCAGGCGUGAAAUCCCCGGGCUUAACCUGGGAACUGCACUUGAAACUACGAUGCUGGAGUAUGGCAGAGGGAGGUGGAAUUCCACGUGUAGCGGUGAAAUGCGUAGAGAUGUGGAGGAACACCGAUGGCGAAGGCAGCCUCCUGGGCCAGCACUGACGCUCAUGCACGAAAGCGUGGGGAGCAAACAGG